GCUGGGGCCACGUGGGAGGAGACCCUCUUCUGCAGCCGGAGUUCCGGCGAGAGCACGUGGGGAGAAAUCGUGUCUCGGGGAGGCUCCUUGGCCGCGUGGGGCUGCUGGGGGCCUCGCGCGCUCAAAAACUGAUUUUGGAAGGCGCGUGGUUCCUCUACGGUUCCUCACCGCCUUAACUGAGGAGGUCUCAGAGGAAAAGCCGAUCCGUGAAGGCGCUAGGAAGGGGACAGAAUUCGCUCGCGACGCCCCCUCCCCGGAACUGAGGUGCCCGGAACUGAAGCUCGGCUAGGGGCGCUUCCCCCACCCCUCCACGCGAUCGGCUCCGCCUCGCGUCCAUGGGGCCCGCCUCCGAGUGGGUGGCGGACUUGGAUGUUACUUUCUGCUUUGCCCCUAAAAGUUAGUCAGAUGGGACCAAUUCCCUACCCUCCUACCACAUUUCUGAGAUUUCUUUUUUAAAUUUUUCGUCUUUCUGAAAACGACUUUUUUACUGCUCCAAGUCUAGCCCUGUCUGUGCCCACCUAGUUGGGGGCUGCCCUAGCAAACCUGCUCUCUUUGAGGGGCGCUCUCUUGGGGAGCGCUGAUCCGGUCAUUUACAUAAGAAAGAGCCUCGGCGGCUCUGUUGACCAGUAUCUCUACCACAUGCGUCUAUCUGAUGAGACUCUUCUGGAGAUUUCUAAGCGGUUCCGCAAGGAGAUGGAGAAAGGACUUGGAGCCACCACCCACCCUACUGCUUCUGUGAAAAUGUUGCCCACCUUUGUGAGGUCUACUCCAGAUGGGACAGAACAUGGGGAGUUUUUGGCUCUGGACCUUGGAGGGACAAACUUCCGUGUGCUCCGGGUAAGAGUGACAGACAAUGGACUCCAGAAGGUGGAGAUGGAGAACCAGAUCUAUGCCAUCCCCGAGGACAUCAUGCGAGGCUCUGGCACCCAGCUGUUUGACCACAUUGCGGAAUGCCUGGCCAACUUCAUGGAUAAGCUACAGAUCAAAGACAAGAAGCUCCCAUUGGGCUUUACCUUCUCAUUCCCAUGCCAUCAGACUAAAUUAGAUGAGAGUUAUCUUGUCUCCUGGACCAAGGGGUUCAAGUCCAGUGGAGUGGAAGGCAGAGAUGUGGUGGCUCUGAUCCGAAAGGCCAUUCAGCGGAGAGGGGACUUUGAUAUUGACAUUGUGGCUGUGGUGAAUGACACGGUUGGGACCAUGAUGACCUGUGGUUAUGAUGACCAGAACUGUGAGAUUGGUCUCAUUGUGGGCACUGGCAGCAAUGCCUGCUACAUGGAGGAGAUGCGCCAUAUUGACAUGGUGGAGGGUGACGAGGGGCGGAUGUGCAUCAACAUGGAGUGGGGGGCCUUUGGGGAUGAUGGCGCCCUCAAUGACAUCCGCACUGAGUUUGACCGGGAGAUCGACAUGGGCUCCCUGAACCCUGGGAAGCAACUAUUUGAGAAGAUGAUCAGUGGAAUGUACAUGGGGGAGCUGGUGAGGCUCAUCCUGGUGAAGAUGGCAAAGGAGGAACUACUUUUCCAGGGGAAGCUCAGCCCAGAGCUCCUCACCACAGGUUCCUUUGAGACCAAAGACGUUUCAGAUAUUGAAGAGGAAAAGGAUGGUCUUCAGAAGGCCUACCAGGUCCUGGUACGGCUAGGCAUGGAUCCACUGCAGGAGGACUGCGUGGCUACUCACCGGAUCUGCCAGAUCGUGUCCACUCGCUCAGCCAGCCUGUGUGCGGCCACCCUGGCUGCUGUGCUGUGGCGCAUCAAGGAGAACAAGGGCGAGGAGCGCCUGCGCUCUACCAUUGGAGUGGAUGGCUCCGUCUAUAAGAAACACCCGCAUUUUGCCAAGCAUCUUCAUAAGACUGUGCGGCGGCUGGUGCCUGACUGUGAUGUUCGCUUCCUCCGCUCUGAGGACGGCAGUGGUAAAGGAGCAGCUAUGGUGACAGCGGUGGCUUACCGGCUGGCUGACCAACACCGAGCCCGCCAGAAAACCCUGGAGCCUCUGAAGCUGAGCCGUGAGCAGCUUCUGGAGGUGAAGAGGAGGAUGAAGGUGGAAAUGGAGCGAGGUCUGAGCAAGGAGACUCAUGCCAUUGCCCCUGUGAAGAUGCUGCCCACCUAUGUGUGCGCCACCCCUGAUGGCUCAGAGAAAGGGGAUUUCUUGGCCUUGGACCUUGGAGGUACAAACUUCCGGGUCCUGCUAGUUCGUGUGCGGAACGGGAAGCGCAGAGGAGUGGAGAUGCACAACAAGAUCUACGCCAUUCCGCAGGAGGUCAUGCACGGCACAGGGGAGGAGCUCUUUGACCACAUCGUCCAGUGCAUCGCUGACUUCCUGGAGUACAUGGGCAUGAAGGGUGUGUCCCUGCCUCUCGGUUUUACCUUCUCCUUCCCCUGCCAGCAGAACAGCCUGGAUGAGAGCAUCCUGCUUACGUGGACAAAGGGCUUCAAGGCAUCUGGCUGUGAGGGCGAGGAUGUGGUCACCCUGCUGAAGGAAGCGAUUCACCGGCGAGAGGAGUUUGACUUAGAUGUGGUUGCUGUGGUGAAUGAUACAGUUGGAACUAUGAUGACCUGUGGCUAUGAGGACCCUCACUGUGAAGUUGGUCUUAUUGUUGGCACGGGCAGCAAUGCCUGCUACAUGGAGGAGAUGCGCAACGUGGAGCUGGUGGAUGGAGAGGAGGGACGGAUGUGUGUCAACAUGGAGUGGGGGGCCUUCGGGGACAACGGAUGUCUGGAUGACUUCCGCACAGAGUAUGAUGUGGCUGUGGAUGAGCUCUCUCUCAACGUAGGCAAACAGAGGUUUGAGAAAAUGAUUAGCGGCAUGUACUUGGGUGAGAUUGUCCGUAACAUCCUCAUCGACUUUACCAAGCGUGGCCUGCUCUUCCGUGGCCGCAUUUCAGAACGGCUUAAGACACGGGGAAUCUUUGAAACCAAGUUCCUGUCUCAGAUUGAAAGCGACUGUCUGGCCCUGCUGCAGGUCCGCGCCAUCCUCCGCCACUUGGGUCUCGAGAGCACUUGUGACGACAGCAUCAUCGUCAAGGAGGUGUGCACUGUGGUGGCUCGGCGGGCGGCCCAGCUCUGUGGCGCGGGCAUGGCUGCCGUGGUAGAUAAGAUACGAGAGAACAGGGGGCUGGACACCCUCAAAGUCACAGUGGGUGUGGACGGGACCCUCUACAAGCUCCAUCCUCACUUUGCCAAAGUCAUGCACGAGACAGUAAAGGACCUGGCUCCCAAAUGUGAUGUGUCUUUCUUGGAGUCCGAGGAUGGCAGUGGAAAGGGGGCAGCUCUCAUCACUGCUGUGGCUUGCCGCAUCCGGGAGGCGGGGCAGCGAUAGAAACCAGAAGGACCUCUCUUCUUCCCCUCUUCCCUGUUUUAAAUUAAAAGGUGUCAUCCUCUUGUGUUGGAGAGAGUCCCUCAGCUUUUCCUUGUCAGACAGGACUCCAUUGCACUGGGUUUUGUCUCUGUAUUCUCAUUGUAGUUCAGCACCCACACAUUGGCCUUCCUGAGACACAGAAGAAGGAUUUGUUCACACUGGUCACAAUCAUUCCCAUUGGUUCUCUUAAACCUUCAAAAUAGUUGGAAAGAUUUUAGCCAUCCCUCUGGUGGAAUUCCACAUCACUGUACCAUCGAUCAUGCAGAAUGGAGACUGUCAAGAUCCUGGCUGCUCCACCUUGGAGCUGAAUGGGACAUUUCUAGAUGGAAAGCUCUGAAGCUAUUUCUCUCAUCAGAGAUCUGGGAUAUCUCCACUAAUGACUUGAGCCUGAUCUUCAAGUAUUGCUCUGCGGUUCCAGAAUGUGCUUCUGGAAUCCAGCCACCCCACAGCUGGAUAGUGAAACCAAAGCCAAGAGUUGCCACAUCCUGCAAGAGUGUUUGUCCUCACAUGCAUCAUGACCUCCUGUGUCACCCAUGAGCCCUGGAAUUUUGGGAAAGAGGGAGCUUUUGAGUUUUGUUUGUUUAAUUUUUUUCCCUGCAAAAGUGGAGAAACACUGUAUUUUCAUUUUAAUUUAUAUUUGAAAUUUAUUUAGCUCAUGAAGUAGGUGUGCUCCUUCAUUGUGUAACGGUUAAUUUGUAUGUAAUGUAUUUAUAUGUUCAUUUGUUAUGUAUGUAGGUAAGCAUGGUCUCCUCACCCUUGGCCUCAUUAGUAGAUCAGUGUAGUUGAAGAUGUGAGGCAAAGAUACCGACCAGCGACUAGAAAUACCUCAUUUGCCCACAGGAAGAGAAAGAGAAACCUCUUCUGGGUGAGUGACUAGAAAAGGGUCAGCUUUCUGGUUCCUCCUUCCUCUAGUGUGAGGAAUGUGUGGAAGGCAGGGAUAGAGACAGAGGCUGGCAAUGGAUUGAAGAAACCACAGCAGACUGGCUAGUCAAGGGAUUUUCCUGGGUAUAUUAUGUGGAGUAUUACCCAAAGGAAGCCAAAGGAAUCAUUUCAAGUACUCAGUGCUUAGCAGCAUUUAUUCUUUAUUCUUAGGGCAGUCAGUAUUUUUAAAGUUGACAAGGUAAAGAAAACCCACCAAAAAUUCAUAUUAGAAGUAUAUCAGAGAGAGAAGAAGAAAAAAAGAAAGAAAGAAAAAAGAAGUGUACCUGUUCAUCACUAUUAAACCAAAAUGAAGCAAUUAAAUAACCAAACCAAAUGAAACCUCAGGGAUGACAUUUGGGGGGGAGGUAUUUGCGCCCUCCUAGCAAAUUUCACCUAGGGUUUGUUUUGUAAAUGUUUUACAGCAACUGUUGUGUCUGUGCUUCCCUGGACUGAGCUGGUAUUGGUCUGCUGACAUGUUUUUAUUUUUUUGUACACAUUAUUUAUUUCACACUGUUGGCAGGGAUGGGAGGGGCAUAAAAACGCCCAUACUCUACUUUCCAAGAGUACAGUUAAUUCUGAAUUCAUGUGUCCACUUCUGCCCUCAGCUAUGAACAACCAUAGACAUGAAGCCUGGAUGUAGCCUGAUUGAGAAUGAAUGACCUUGUAACACUGGAAAAGUAUACAAGGAUCAAAAAGGAACGAUGGGGAGAAACUACUCAUUUGCACCCAUGUUUUUGCACAGUAUUCCAACUUUGGCUGAGGGGAACCACCCUGGUUCUGGGAAGUGCAGAAGAAAGAACAUGUUCUUUAUUACAGGCUUGCUCUGCCUGUCUGAUGUAGUUCCUUUGCCCCCAUCUGUAAUUACUGACCUAAAAUAUGGGUGCCUUUGGCUACAAUGAAGGCCAGAAGCCACAUGCAGAUUUAUGGCUCACUAAAGGAUACACAUGAAGUACAGAUAAAUUUUAACUUAAUUUAUUAAGUUUUAAAUAAAAUUUACCUUUUAAAAUUAGGCACCAUUUAUAAAUAUUUCACCUAUUUUUAGAAGUAGAGAUGUGGGGUGGGUAGCUGUAAAGAAGUAUUGUGCUGUUGGUUUCCAGUCAGGAGCAAAGGACCACACACACGUUGACUGUGUUCCUAGCACUGCGCUGAUAGAUCCUAGCUGAUGAUGCUCUGCUCAGUGUAUAUCCAGUGGAGCUCAGUCUGACCGGGCUGUGCUGGACACUGCAUCUCAAACCCUUUCAGUCUUUCAGUCUAGUGAAGAUGUUGUCACUAUGUACAAUAGAGAACUAAUUGAUUAACUAUGUGAUGUUAUCUACAAUUAAUAAAUUUCAACAUUUUCCAAAGUA